CGGCGGACGGGUGAGUAACACGUGGAUAACCUACCUAUAAGACUGGGAUAACUUCGGGAAACCGGAGCUAAUACCGGAUAAUAUAUUGAACCGCAUGGUUCAAUAGUGAAAGACGGUUUUGCUGUCACUUAUAGAUGGAUCCGCGCCGCAUUAGCUAGUUGGUAAGGUAACGGCUUACCAAGGCAACGAUGCGUAGCCGACCUGAGAGGGUGAUCGGCCACACUGGAACUGAGACACGGGUCCAGACUCCUACGGGAGGCAGCAGUA
rnacentral:rRNA from 1 species